rnacentral:rRNA from 1 species
GGAUGAACGCUAGCGAUAGGCCUAACACAUGCAAGUCGAGGGGCAGCAUAGAGUAGCAAUACUUUGAUGGCGACCGGCGCACGGGUGAGUAACACGUAUGCAACCUACCUACAUCAGGGGAAUAACCCGGAGAAAUUCGGACUAAUACCGCAUAAUACAGGGAUGCCGCAUGGCAAUAUUUGUUAAAGAUUUAUCGGAUGUAGAUGGGCAUGCGUUCCAUUAGCUGGUUGGUAAGGUAACGGCUUACCAAGGCAACGAUGGAUAGGGGAACUGAGAGGUUUGUCCCCCACACUGGAACUGAGACACGGACCAGACUCCUACGGGAGGCAGCAGUGAGGAAUAUUGGUCAAUGGACGAGAGUCUGAACCAGCCAAAUCGCGUGAAGGAAGACUGCCCUACGGGUUGUAAACUUCUUUUGUACAGGAAUAAAAGACAUUACGUGUAGUGUAUUGCAUGUACUGUACGAAUAAGCAUCGGCUAACUCC